rnacentral:lncRNA from 1 species
GUCAACGACGUGUGCCUCACCACGCAAUAAUUACUCCAAAUGCAUAUUCUCAUUAUUUAUUACAUACCUUUCAACUUCUGUUGGAAACUGGAACAAGGAUUUUCCUCCCUUCCAUUUUACAGUAAACAAGGUAUUUAUUGAUGACAUAUGUUUCUUAUCGUGAAAAAAAGUUGAUUCACAGUAGGAGUACUAGUAGUGGGAAAACUUGCAAAGAAAUCGAUUUCUAGCUAUUUAAGCCAAGUAAGUUUUUUAUUUUUGUGAAUUAGCUAGCCAGCUAGAUAUCUACUUGGGACAAGCUAGCUACCGCCAAGAAGAGGAUGAAGACCAUUUGUGCCUUGGUGAAUAUGCAUGACGAUCAUUAGGAAAACAUCCACUAUCUAGUGCACUCGUCCUAAACAACAUAAUCUCUAUAAACAAUUAGGUAAGUCAUGUCCACCAAACUUAGUGCACUCUGUUAUAAAUUCGAGUUUUGGAAACAGAAAACUGUAUGAAGAUUGUUAAAGUUGCGUCAAUUCGUUUCUGGUAUCAGAACAAAAUAGUCAGCACAUAGUAACUUCUGAUUUAGCUGUACUUUAAUUAAUGCAAACACGUGUAUGGUAAAUAUGUGGUUCGCAUAUAUACACGGUCUCUCUGUGACACCUCGCAGGGCAGACAGAGAAGAGAGCGACACAUCCUAUUGUUCUCUCUUAUAUACUCUGACAGUGAUAGUUCCUGCUCAAUGCUGGCCUGUCAGAGGGAGGAGGAGCGUGGUUUAAACUUGCUCCUCCUAUCGUCGGCGUGCAGGCUGGUCCCAACCUCGUGACGCACUUCCUGUCGCCGGGUGUAGUUCUUGUCUUCAGCAGUUGACUUAUCCGGAGUUGAUAUAUUUAAUAUUGUAGCAUAGCUUCCCCAGUAUAUUAUAUAAGUUAUGCAAACAAAUAGCCAGUUCAACCCUAACAAGAUCAAAUGUUUCCUUUAUGAGAAAAUUAGCAUAGCAUAUCGGCCAAAAUCCAUCUAGCUCAAUCUUCUCCCACUGCUGUUCACUGGGCUUCAUAUUUCACUGGGCUUCCUCUCACUAACCGGAUGUCUCACAUUUAUACAUCCAGUGAAAUAUCUGUCUCAUCUCUCUGUGCCUCUACGGUCACGGUUGCGUUUCCGGAACAUUAUGGGCCGUACGCGUCUCUGGUCCAACAAAAAUAUGUUCCCGGUAAAGCAGGACGUCAGCCACCACCAGAGAGGUUUCUUUUUAAAUUCCUUGGUCACUGUGGACCUUGUUACCAUGACAACAUUGCCCAAUCAAACGCAUUACCUCUAUCAACAUGGACGAAUUGACAGUUGAGUUGUUUAAAGUCUUAGUUAGAUUGCACAUGGGUGGACUUUAUUUAAGUGUCACAUGAUCUGUCACAUAAUCUCAGUAUUUAUACAACUGUUCUGAAAGGCCCCAGAGUCUGCAACACCACUAAGCAAGGGGCACCACCAAGCAAGCAGCACCAUGAAGACCAAGGAGCUCUCCAAACAGGUCAGGGACAAAGUUGUGGAGAAGUACAGAUCAGGGUUGGGUUAUAAAAAAAUAUCCUAAACUUUGAACAUCUCAGCGGAGCACCAUUAAAUCCAUUAUUAAAAAAUGGAAAGAAUAUGGCACCACAACAAACCUGCCAAGAGAGGGACGCCAACCAAAACCCAUAGACCAGGCAAGGAGGGCAUUAAUCAGAGAGGCAACAAAGAGACCAAAGAUAACCCUGAAGGAGCUGCAAAGCUCCACAGUGAAGAUUGGAGUAUCUGUCCAUAGGACCACUUAAGCCGUACACUCCACAGAGCUGGGCUUUACAGAAGAGUGGCCAGAAAAAAAUGAGCAAACACAUUUGGUGUUCAUCAAAAGGCAUGUGGGAGACUCCCCAAACAUAUGGAAGAAGGUACUCUGGCCAGAUGAGGCUCAAAUGUAGCUUUAUUUAACCAGGAAAUCCAAAUGAGGUCAAUUGAUUUUUUUCCUUGUUGUCUGUUACGUUCCCCAGUUUCUGUUUUGGGUUUGUAUGUGUUUGGAUGUGUAUGUUUCAGGAAAUGGCUUCCAGGAUUCAAAGCAGCUGAUUGGUCGGCCCCAUCGAAGAUUGGAGCUCUGACCCCUCCCUCUCGUCAGGGGAUACAGCUGUCUGCAAUUACCGACUCCUGCAGCUUGAAAAGCCAGUGUUCCUUUGUUAGGAGAGAGAGCUUCUUUGAUGUCCUGUGUUGGUUGUUGUUCAGAGACAGGUUUUGUAAAGUAUUUUGUAGUUGGUCCUGCUGAGGUAUGUCUAGGCCAAAAGGACUGUGUUUGUGAUUAUUGAAAUUGUUCACUUUAAGUUAGUAAUUAUUCUGUUUGUGUUCCCAGUGGGGAAGGGGAAGGCACCUUGGGAGUUUUUAGGCAAGAGGCCUGCGGGCAUACAUAUACCCGUAGUAUGUACUCUGUCUAUGCACACUAGGUAAGACCUGGGCGGACCACCCCCUGUAUUUUGGUUAGCGCACCAGGUGACAUUAAGAAUAGGUAAGUAGUGGGUAGGAGAGGGGGCUCUUUAAUGUUUACUUUCUUUGCUUUGGUUCCAUCCAGCCCCUUUUCCCCAAAUUACCCUGUGAAGGAAGAAUAAAUUCCCUGUUAAUGGUAAUAUUUUCUGCCUCUGUCAUCCUUACCUGCACCUACAGUCACACACCUCUCUUUCACUCCACCUACACCUCUCUUUCACUCCACCUACACCUCUCUUUCACUCCACCUACACCUCUCUUUCACUCCACGGGGAGUUGAGUGUAGCAGGGUGUCGCGUUUCCCCCCUCCAAGAGGUGUGCGCAACAUUGUCCAUUAACACCUUAACCAAAGAGCACCGUCAACCUAUGUUUCAGUGAUCUACUGACUAGUAUAUCCUUUAGACGGAUUGUUCUUCUGUUAUUGCCAGGAGACUGUUACCAUGGCCGCCAUUACCAUGGCCACCAUAACCCUGUCACUGCUUCUCCCCGCUGUUCUGCUCAGAACACUGACAGAGUGUAUGGAGUGAUGCCAGACCCCCUGUGAGAUUGCUAGAGAUGCUGCGGGGGCCUAACUUGAUUGGAGACUUCACCCUGCAGUGUGACAACCAGGGACAAUACACCCCUCAGCAGUGGCCAGGCUCUGCAGUUUCUGUUGGUGUGGACAGAAGAGCCCUGGUACUGAGUCCACCAGACACUGCUCACAUAAACUGUGAGAGGACAGGUAGGACGAGUAUGUGUUUGUUUAUAUUAGUGUGCCUUUAUACACUCACUGUACAAAACAUUAAGAACACAUGUGACGACCCUCCCACUCUAUCUGCUGUGUUCUCUCUUUGCUCUUGUUUCCUUAUUAGGAUGCCGGUGGGCGGGUCGUCAGCUACAUGGGAAACACCUGGGCCCAGCUGCGGCGUCGACUUGGCCACAGGCGUCCUCCAUGGCCUGAAUGAGGGGUACCUGAGCCUGGGGCUGGAGAUCGUAAACCUUCCACCGCCAUGCAGAGAAACUCUUCGAUAGGGUUUAGAAACGGAGAGUAUGAUGGAAGGUAUAGUACUGUCAACUGUGGAUGGUGUUGAAACCAGUUCUAGACCAAAGCAGAGGUGAAAUGACACAUUGUCCCAGAUGACAGUAUUGCAUCUGGUGCAUUUCAUUACCUGCUGUGACGAUGUGGUGCAAUCGGUCCAAAAAUGCGAGAAUGUGAGGUGUGUUGUAAGGGCCUAUUUUGGCAUGAUGGAGGAGAACCCCAUGCUGUGAAAUGGCAGCGCAAAGGGUGAUGUUACCCACACGUUUCCCUGGGACAUUGAUUAUAGCCCUGUGGCCAAUGAUAUUUCUGCCUCUCCUUCUUGCUUUUGUGAGGUUGAACCCUGCCUCAUCAAUAUAUAUGAAUUCAUGCAGGAUUUCCUCAGCAUCCAUCUGCAAAACUCCCUGAAAUACAGUGAAAGACAAGAUUGUGUAGUUCAGGAUAGGUCUAGUAUACAGUCAAUGUAAAAAAGUAAUGUGUGCAGUAUGCAACAUCACAGUGCUAAAGUGAACAAUACAAACCUCCACAUACUCAUGCUGCAGCCGUUUGACCCUCUCUGAAUUCCGCUCAAAAGGCACUGGAUAAAGUUGUUUCAUUUGAACCUGAUGUCUUUUCAGGAUGCGUGCCAGUGUUGACUGAGAGGCCUGAUGGACAUUGAGAAUGGCAUGGUCACCGAUAAUGUUGGCUUGUAGUUCUGAGCCUGAUAGGAUUAUUGGCCAAAACCAUGUUUAUUAUCUCUCUUGUGCUUGCGUGAAUAUGGGCCCCCUUCCUCUUUGUCGUUCCCGACCCUCAAUCAUAUGUAGAGAAUAAUACAUGUAACUUACUGUACAAUGUCACAGGAAGGGGUAUCACAAGUGUUGAUAUGGUGCAUACAAUAAGCGGCUGAUUACUGUAACUGUAGACAGAUCUUCUUUUACCUGUUUUCCUGUCAAAAAGUCCUUAUGACAGAUGCCACUGUAUAUCUGCUAAGAUUUGGCUGAACUCAGUCCAGCCUCCCUCAGCAUCAAUCCGUGGUUCACAACAUGGUCCACUAGUGUUGCACGAAUGUCAAUUGGAUAAGUUUGAUUCUCUUAUUCUUUGUGCACGUUCUACUCCUGCUUCAGGUCUUCCUCUGGCUCGGCCUCUUCCUCUACCUCCUUCUCCUCUGUGUACUCCUCCUCUCACCCUCACUCUUCUUCUGACUCCUUCCAUUUUGGUUGAAGGCAGGUAAACCUACCUGCUGCAUUUUUAUAGUGCUUAAACCUGAUUGGUGUGUCUACAAUUUAGCAAUCGUGUUUGUGCACCUGAUGGCUGUGUUUAACUUCUCUACGGCCGGCGGGACGAAAUCGUCCCACCUACGUAACAGCCAGUGGAAUCCUGUGGCGCGUUAUUCAAAUACCUUAGAAAUGCUAUUACUUAAAUUUCUCAAACAUAUUACUAUUUUACAACAUUUUAAAGACAAGACUCUCGUUAAUCUAACCACACUGUCCGAUUUCAAAAAGGCUUUACAACGAAAGCAAAACAUUAGAUUAUGUCAGCAGAGUACCCAGCCAGAAAUAAUCAGACACCCAUUUUUCAAGCUAGCAUAUAAUGUCACAAAAACCCAGAAGACAGCUAAAUGCAGCACUAACCUUUGAUGAUCU